rnacentral:rRNA from 1 species
GAUGAACGCUAGCUACAGGCUUAACACAUGCAAGUCGAGGGGCAUCACAGUGUAGCAAUACACGGGUGGCGACCGGCGCACGGGUGCGUAACACGUAUCCAAUCUGCCCGUUACUCGGGGAUAGCCUUCUGAAAGGAAGAUUAAUACCCGAUGGCAUGUAUUUCCGGCAUCGGAGAUACAUUAAAGAUUUAUUGGUAACGGAUGAGGAUGCGUACGAUUAGCUAGUUGGCGGGGUAACGGCCCACCAAGGCUACGAUCGUUAGGGGUUCUGAGAGGAAGGUCCCCCACACUGAGACUGAGACACGGUCCAGACUCCUACGGGAGGCAGCAGUGAGGAAUAUUGGUCAAUGGGCGCGAGCCUGAACCAGCCAAGUAGCGUGAAGGAUGACUGCCCUACGGGUUGUAAACUUCUUUUGUUUGGGAAUAAAUGAUACUACGUGUAGUAUUUUGCAUGUACCUUACGAAUAAGCAUCGGCUAAUUCCGUGCCAGCCGCCGCAGUAAGAC